rnacentral:lncRNA from 1 species
GACCAAUAUUGAAGGAUUUUAUUUAAAUCACUUCACAACUCUUAAUCCCUUACCAUCACAACCUUACAACCCUACACCUAUACUACAACUCUAUUCUACCACCUGCAACAAAGGAAAAAAAAAAGAGAGAGAGAGGGAGAGAAUAAGAUCAGUUGCGUCCCCUCCCCAUUUUCUGUAACAACUGCAGCAGCAGUAAGCACUCCACCUCUGCCACAACAGCCAUACCCAAGGUACACAGGGACUCACAUCAGCCACCCUACCAUUUAGUAGGUACUCAAGCUCCAGCCAGCCUUCUUCCCUUUUUACCUCUCAUUUCAGCAAACAACCUCCUAACACUUCCCUCUCCAUUAUACUCUAACAGCUCACGUGAAGAAGGGAGGAAAUCAUUCAUCCAUCUCUGCCAAGGAGGUAAACUUCUUUAACUCUCUUCAACUCCUCCAAGAUUUCACCUGCAUUAAUGCAAGAACAACCACUGUUAUGUUUCAGUUACCCCUAAUUAAGAUCAGUCAACUACAGCAGCAGAUAAUAUAACCAACACCAAGCAAUUUCAAGGUAAGCUUCACCUUGAACUUUAUUACUCCCUGCCACAAUUUCACCUUCAUUCAUUAAGGCAGUUACCAACAUUAUUCUAUUUCAGUUUCCAUCCCCUGCAUUUAAUUCAACACAGCAGCAAACAGCCACCACAACCAUAUCCUCAAGGUAUUAUACGUUAUCCCAGUUCACUAUCUCCAUGUACAUGCUUCACACAUCAUCAUAGCAUGAUUUUUUUUUAAUGAAUGCUGCUAAUAGGAGAUGAGCAUGAUUAGUUAUUCACAUAAGUUUAUGUAGCAAUAGCAGACUACACUUCCUUUACUCUAGGGAUAUAGAGAUAUGUUACAUCUGAUUCAUGUAUUCGAUGAACAACAAUGGACUCCACAGACACAGAAUAUGGGGAACACUUUAACUCACCACUAUUACUGAUAGACGAACAAAUACGACCACAACAUGCUCACUUUUAGAACAAUUAAUCUCUGGCUUCUCUUGCUCGAAUAAGCCUCUAUGUGUAUCGAUACUCCAUUGCAAUGAAAAGAAGAAGAAGCAAGAUUAAAACUUAGCUUUAGGUUGAGGGGGGGACUACUGCCAGCUCUGAAUCGGGGAUGACGGCGCACCGAACCAGAGCUGUGGCGACUUCGCCGAUUCUUGGAAUCUGCCAGCGGUGGCGAAUGAAAUCCAGACACGGCAGUCUCGCCGAAAAUCGCACGCCGAGGCGACGGACGGAGGCUCAACAUCCUUCAAGCGGCGGCAAAGUUGAGAGAUGGCGUCGGGCUCAGGUUCUACAUCGGCGCCACCAAGAACUGAGGGAGAACGACGACUAACAGGCGCCGGUGUUACAGGACGCGGCGGCGUCGAACAGAGGGAGGCGAUUUCUGAUUUUUGGAAAGCUAGGGCUUUUACUCCAUUCUUCAUUUGGGGAUUUCGAUUGAGAGGCAAAUCGAGAGAGGGGGGAGGUCUGAGGAGGCAGUGCGACGCCGGAAUCGAAAGCAGCGACCACUCGCCGGAUUCUCAGAGACGACGGUGGUGAGUCGCCGGAUUUACAGAAACCACGGCGGCGGCGGACCCAACGAAGGAGAAACAUUUAGGGCUCGAUUUGGGGCUCUGCUUGUGCAGCGGUGAAGAGAGGGUUUUAGGUGAGGAGGCGGCGCAGUCAACAGGUGAACGCCAGCCACGCCGGCAGCUGGUCGCCGGACUUCAGGAGAUCGCGGCGGCAGCGGAAGCCUCGACGAAGGCGGAGCGAGAGAUAGGAAGAGAGAGAGAGGCGUUUCUGAUUUGAGAAGAG